rnacentral:lncRNA from 1 species
AAGGGUCAAGCGUAAGAAUAGGCUUCAACGUGCCUCUGUUGCGCUUCUGGAGCCUAAAAUAUAGGAGAGGGGUGUUACGGGCGUCACACCAUGUGUUACGCUCGUAACACAAGGUAGUAAGGCGUGACGCUCGUCACAGCUUGUGUGGCGAUCGUCAAAACUUCAGCGCUCCUGGCUUUGUGGGCUGGGCUUUUGUGGAUUUUUGCUUUUCAUUAUCUUUUUG